rnacentral:rRNA from 1 species
GACGAACGCUGGCGGCGUGCUUAACACAUGCAAGUCGAGCGAGAAACUUCGGUUUCUAGCGGCGGACGGGAGAGUAACACGUGGGCAACCUGCCUCACAAUGGGGGAUAGCCUUCCGAAAGGAAGAUUAAUACCGCAUAACACAAAGGAAACGCAUGUUUCUUUUGCCAAAGAAUUUCGUUGUGAGAUGGGCCCGGGGCGCAUUAGCUUGUUGGUGAGGUAACGGCUCACCAAGGCGACGAUGCGUAGCCGACCUGAGAGGGUGAUCGGCCACAUUGGAACUGAGACACGGUCCAGACUCCUACGGGAGGCAGCAGUGGGGAAGAUUGCACAAUGGAGGAAACUCUGAUGCAGCAACGCCGCGUGAGUGAUGAAGGUCUUCGGAUUGUAAAGCUCUGUCUUCUGGGACGAUAAUGACGGUACCAGAGGAGGAAGCCACGGCUAACUACGUGCCAGCCGCCGCCGUAAAAC